AGUUUAUCUUAAAUUAUUGGGUAAACUUCAAAUACCACCCUUGUGGUUUUGUACUUUCUCACUUUAGUAUCCUGUGAUUUAAAGUAUAUCAAGUUAGUGUCAUGUGGUUUUAUUUUUACCUUUUUUAUCAGCUUCUCUAUUAAUAUUUCGUUAAAUUAUAUAAAAAAAACUUCAGAUAUUUCACCUGAGUUUAUCGAAUAUUCACUUUAGUAACUUUUAAUUUUAACUUUAUUACUAAUUUAACGAAAAAAAUAGUGAAAUCGAUAAUAAAAAAAUAAUAAUAAAAUCACAUGACACUAAAUUGAUACAUUUUAAACUAUAGGAUACUAAAGUGAGAAAGUGUGAAACCACAGGAAUGGUAUUUGAAGUUUUUUCUAAAUUAUAUACAUACUAUUUAAAUAUGUAUAAAAUUGUAUAUCUGUUUUGCUAGAUUAGUUAGAUUAUUAAUGCAUAAUAAUGUUACUGAAUAUAAUUUAUAAGUUAUAACAUCUAUAAUAAAAAAAAAUUAAAAUUGUUAUUUUGAAAUAAAAAUAAGAGAGAUAUUUAGUAUGUAAUGUUACCAUUUAUAUCUAAAUACAAAAAUAAAAUUUUAUAAAUAUUUGUCUGCAAAUAAGGGUACAAAGGGAUCCGGAUUGGUGGAGCUCAUGUCCUAAUUCGCUCCAAAUGAGGUGGUAACUAAGAACCACAAAUAUAAAAAAUUGUAAUCCGCUCUGGAUCCGUCCCGAUCCGCUAAGUAAAUAAAGUAAAAGGCGAAAGAUUUUUUUUUUAUCCUUCCUGAUCCGUCUCAAAUUCAGUGAUAAAUACAGUCUAAAAUUGACUUGAAAUUAAUUUGUCCCGACCUUUGUUAGUUAAUUCGUGAAUUAUUCACAAAUUAUUAAAAAUCCGAAUUAAAUGGUCCGUUUAUAAUUUUUUUUCAAAGAAACGAAAUUAUUCGCGAAUUUUUGGGCCAGUCGAAUAAUUCGCGAAUUAUUGAAAAUCUGAAUAAAAAACUUAUAAUUUUUAUGUUUAAAUAUAGAUUAUUUUAUAUUUUAUAUUUUAUACCGAAUCCGUUUUUUAAGUCAAAAUUUUAAAUAAAUUUAAAAAUUAAAAAAUAAAUUUUAUGCUAUUAUAUUUCCACCAAAUUUUUGUCGAUUCUAAAUUAACUAACUAU
rnacentral:lncRNA from 1 species